UCUCGAUGAAGUCUCUUGCUUUCACGUUUCAAAAACUCUUCAUCCUCUCCACAGUUCUCCAACCACUUUUCCUCUGCUUCAACAUCCUUGCGCAAGGCAUCAUUUGACAACUUUCUCAGCUCAGACUUCAUUUUUCUAGCUUUCAAUUUCUUUAUACGCUGCAAAUAAUGACUUCCAUAUGGUUGGAAGAGAUGGCGGUGAUCUGUGCAGGCUAUGAGAAAUUUG
rnacentral:lncRNA from 1 species